AGGCUAAAAUAAGAAACAAUGAAUGAAAAGAC
rnacentral:sRNA from 1 species